GGUUAAGCGACUAAGCGUACACGGUGGAUGCCCUGGCAGUCAGAGGCGAUGAAGGACGUGCUAAUCUGCGAUAAGCGUCGGUAAGGUGAUAUGAACCGUUAUAACCGGCGAUUUCCGAAUGGGGAAACCCAGUGUGUUUCGACACACUAUCAUUAACUGAAUCCAUAGGUUAAUGAGGCGAACCGGGGGAACUGAAACAUCUAAGUACCCCGAGGAAAAGAAAUCAACCGAGAUUCCCCCAGUAGCGGCGAGCGAACGGGGAGGAGCCCAGAGCCUGAAUCAGUGUGUGUGUUAGUGGAAGCGUCUGGAAAGGCGCGCGAUACAGGGUGACAGCCCCGUACACAAAAAUGCACAUACUGUGAGCUCGAUGAGUAGGGCGGGACACGUGGUAUCCUGUCUGAAUAUGGGGGGACCAUCCUCCAAGGCUAAAUACUCCUGACUGACCGAUAGUGAACCAGUACCGUGAGGGAAAGGCGAAAAGAACCCCGGCGAGGGGAGUGAAAAAGAACCUGAAACCGUGUACGUACAAGCAGUGGGAGCACAGAGCAAUCUGUGUGACUGCGUACCUUUUGUAUAAUGGGUCAGCGACUUAUAUUCUGUAGCAAGGUUAACCGAAUAGGGGAGCCGAAGGGAAACCGAGUCUUAACUGGGCGUUAAGUUGCAGGGUAUAGACCCGAAACCCGGUGAUCUAGCCAUGGGCAGGUUGAAGGUUGGGUAACACUAACUGGAGGACCGAACCGACUAAUGUUGAAAAAUUAGCGGAUGACUUGUGGCUGGGGGUGAAAGGCCAAUCAAACCGGGAGAUAGCUGGUUCUCCCCGAAAGCUAUUUAGGUAGCGCCUCGUGAAUUCAUCUCCGGGGGUAGAGCACUGUUUCGGCAAGGGGGUCAUCCCGACUUACCAACCCGAUGCAAACUGCGAAUACCGGAGAAUGUUAUCACGGGAGACACACGGCGGGUGCUAACGUCCGUCGUGAAGAGGGAAACAACCCAGACCGCCAGCUAAGGUCCCAAAGUCAUGGUUAAGUGGGAAACGAUGUGGGAAGGCCCAGACAGCCAGGAUGUUGGCUUAGAAGCAGCCAUCAUUUAAAGAAAGCGUAAUAGCUCACUGGUCGAGUCGGCCUGCGCGGAAGAUGUAACGGGGCUAAACCAUGCACCGAAGCUGCGGCAGCGACGCUGAUGCGUUGUUGGGUAGGGGAGCGUUCUGUAAGCCUGCGAAGGUGUGCUGUGAGGCAUGCUGGAGGUAUCAGAAGUGCGAAUGCUGACAUAAGUAACGAUAAAGCGGGUGAAAAGCCCGCUCGCCGGAAGACCAAGGGUUCCUGUCCAACGUUAAUCGGGGCAGGGUGAGUCGACCCCUAAGGCGAGGCCGAAAGGCGUAGUCGAUGGGAAACAGGUUAAUAUUCCUGUACUUGGUGUUACUGCGAAGGGGGACGGAGAAGGCUAUGUUGGCCGGGCGACGGUUGUCCCGGUUUAAGCGUGUAGGCUGGUUUUCCAGGCAAAUCCGGAAAACUAAGGCUGAGGCGUGAUGACGAGGCACUACGGUGCUGAAGCAACAAAUGCCCUGCUUCCAGGAAAAGCCUCUAAGCAUCAGGUAACAUCAAAUCGUACCCCAAACCGACACAGGUGGUCAGGUAGAGAAUACCAAGGCGCUUGAGAGAACUCGGGUGAAGGAACUAGGCAAAAUGGUGCCGUAACUUCGGGAGAAGGCACGCUGAUAUGUAGGUGAAGUCCCUCGCGGAUGGAGCUGAAAUCAGUCGAAGAUACCAGCUGGCUGCAACUGUUUAUUAAAAACACAGCACUGUGCAAACACGAAAGUGGACGUAUACGGUGUGACGCCUGCCCGGUGCCGGAAGGUUAAUUGAUGGGGUUAGCGCAAGCGAAGCUCUUGAUCGAAGCCCCGGUAAACGGCGGCCGUAACUAUAACGGUCCUAAGGUAGCGAAAUUCCUUGUCGGGUAAGUUCCGACCUGCACGAAUGGCGUAAUGAUGGCCAGGCUGUCUCCACCCGAGACUCAGUGAAAUUGAACUCGCUGUGAAGAUGCAGUGUACCCGCGGCAAGACGGAAAGACCCCGUGAACCUUUACUAUAGCUUGACACUGAACAUUGAGCCUUGAUGUGUAGGAUAGGUGGGAGGCUUUGAAGUGUGGACGCCAGUCUGCAUGGAGCCGACCUUGAAAUACCACCCUUUAAUGUUUGAUGUUCUAACGUUGACCCGUAAUCCGGGUUGCGGACAGUGUCUGGUGGGUAGUUUGACUGGGGCGGUCUCCUCCUAAAGAGUAACGGAGGAGCACGAAGGUUGGCUAAUCCUGGUCGGACAUCAGGAGGUUAGUGCAAUGGCAUAAGCCAGCUUGACUGCGAGCGUGACGGCGCGAGCAGGUGCGAAAGCAGGUCAUAGUGAUCCGGUGGUUCUGAAUGGAAGGGCCAUCGCUCAACGGAUAAAAGGUACUCCGGGGAUAACAGGCUGAUACCGCCCAAGAGUUCAUAUCGACGGCGGUGUUUGGCACCUCGAUGUCGGCUCAUCACAUCCUGGGGCUGAAGUAGGUCCCAAGGGUAUGGCUGUUCGCCAUUUAAAGUGGUACGCGAGCUGGGUUUAGAACGUCGUGAGACAGUUCGGUCCCUAUCUGCCGUGGGCGCUGGAGAACUGAGGGGGGCUGCUCCUAGUACGAGAGGACCGGAGUGGACGCAUCACUGGUGUUCGGGUUGUCAUGCCAAUGGCACUGCCCGGUAGCUAAAUGCGGAAGAGAUAAGUGCUGAAAGCAUCUAAGCACGAAACUUGCCCCGAGAUGAGUUCUCCCUGACUCCUUGAGAGUCCUGAAGGAACGUUGAAGACGACGACGUUGAUAGGCCGGGUGUGUAAGCGCAGCGAUGCGUUGAGCUAACCGGUACUAAUGAACCGUGAGGCUUAACCUU
rnacentral:rRNA from 1 species